UCAAACAUUAAUAUGGCUGGUUAAUAAUAGGCAAUUAAUUAAUGCAGCUAAUUAAAUUCAUGAUCUUCAACGGUUGGGGGCACAAACGGUUCGUUUGACUACAAAGUGAAUGCCACUAACUCUUCAUAUUUCUUCAUAUUAAUGCAGGAAGAUUCUAAUUAAAUUCAUGAUCUUCAUAUUUCUUCUUCUUCGCCGCAUCCGCUUUUCCAAUUUCGUUCCUCAGAACACUUAUUUUCUUGACAUUUUGAGGUUCUUAACCAUUUUACUCUGGUGCUCCAAGAGUAAAAUAAAUUGAUUUCAAGAAAUUAGUGACAGCGGGAAGAAGACGAUGAUGUCGGAGGGCAAGCGUUCUCUUUCUCAUGCUCUCCUUUUUUUCUUCAGUUAUCCAUUCUAUAAACCCACGUUACCCAUACUCAUAAUUUCCAUCCGAUGAUCAAUAACUGUUCAUCUUACGCCACCUAGCCUGCUGCUUCCCUCUUCUUUUCCCUUCUUGAUCGAACGCUUCACUUAACUUUUCCUCUACCGCCUCUGUUUCUUGAAACCGAAGCUUCUCACCCCAAAUAUCAACUUAUACGCCCCCAACCCCAAUGAAGCGAAGACUUGAAAUAUUCUUUCGUUUGAUCUCAGCUAAUCAAACGUCCAAAAUCUUGAAUCAAAGCAUCGAGAAAUAACGAAUGAUUUUCUUCCACUUUUUUCUUCGACAUCUCUGCUUUCACCCAAAUCGACGUCUCUCACAGGCGAUGGUCGUAGUGGACGAGAGGGUCCACCGUUUAUUCCCAAUUUCACAAUCUUGAGGAAUUUUUUGAACCCUGUUGGUUUUCAUGUAACAUUUACUUGAGGACCUGUGACAUGUCAUGGGAAAGACAUAGAAGAAAUUUUGUUUAUAUUCAGUUCUCGGGUGCUUCCAAUGGUAAUGGAUAAGGCUAUUAACGAAAUAUAGUCCAGAAGAGUGUUUCAAACAACAAUGGCACUUGUUUUAAAGUGUCUAUGAAUGGUUUUCCAUUGGCUAUGCCCAUAGUGGAAUUGAACAGAGGGUUUCUUUUUGCCAGUUUGAUUCAACCAUUUGUUUCCCAAUUUUAGAAUCUUGAGGAUGUUGCCACCUGAAACCAUGAUGGGCUCCUUCAAAGCCAACCUCAUCUGGAAACCAACAUCUCCAAAGGUUAACUUCU